rnacentral:lncRNA from 1 species
GUCACACGCACAUACAAGCUGUGUCCAAAUUUGGUUCUGCAUCCUCCUGAGGCCGUGGCCUUCGCGAUCUCCGAUGGCCAGGUCCUUAGAGUUGGAGCAGAUCCAUCGCUGUCGCUUACCGGCGGAGACGAUCUGCAGACUAGACUCCUGCAAUGCACAACCAGUCUCAUAAUCCUGGAGCGGUUUUCCAACAGCGAAGAUCCCAGACCAGACUUCAGAAAACUGGAACUCUCCUGCAUCUUCCUGAACCUCUUUGACCAGGAUUGGUGACAUCAGCAUCCUCCUGCAAGUUCUGGAGGUUAUGCCAUCCUCCACAACAUCUGCCUCUGUGCUGACGACACCGAAACUCCAGAGGAUGAGCCAGAGGAAGAUGUGGAGGAGCCUGGUUUGGAGGCCACCAGCGGUGCUCUAGGUCAGGACCAACUACCCGCUGAGGUUUCUUCCCUGGAGGAUGUACCACCAGACCUUGAAUACUGGCAACAGGUAGUUCCAGCCCCG